rnacentral:rRNA from 1 species
CCAGCAGCCGCGGUAAUUCCAGCUCCAAUAGCGUAUAUUUAAGUUGUUGCAGUUAAAAAGCUCGUAGUUGGAUUUCGGGUGGGUUCUAGCGGUCCGCCUAUGGUGAGUACUGCUAUGGCCUUCCUUUCUGUCGGGGACGGGCUUCUGGGCUUCACUGUCCGGGACUCGGAGUCGACGUGGUUACUUUGAGUAAAUUAGAGUGUUCAAAGCAGGCUUACGCCAGAAUACUUUAGCAUGGAAUAACACGAUAGGACUCUGGCCUAUCUUGUUGGUCUGUAGGACCGGAGUAAUGAUUAAGAGGGACAGUCGGGGGCAUUCGUAUUUCAUUGUCAGAGGUGAAAUUCUUGGAUUUAUGAAAGACGAACUACUGCGAAAGCAUUUGCCAAGGAUGUUUUCA